rnacentral:lncRNA from 1 species
UUCGGUUUACUUUCUUACCCUUCUUAUUUUGGUUGAUGAAUAGUUUAGUUGGUUUAUGUGGUUCAGUGUUUAUUUACAUUUGAAAAUGUGGAUUUCUGGAUUUUGUAAAAUGAAAGGUUUUCUACCCCUCGUGGUAGCAUUUUUAACGAAUAAAGGUUUCCGUGUAGGAAACAGUUUUCAAAAGGAUUUUCCGUGGAUUUCUGUUUAAACAUUGAAUGUAAAACUGUGAUGUGAAUGGUGAAUGUAUGAAUGUAUAGUUAUCUUUAUAUUCAUCUAGUGGUGGUUGUAUCCUGGUUGUACUCUUGUACUUGUGCGACGCCGUGCAAAUACAGGGGAGACUCUGUCCGUGUGAACAGUGGACCUCCUGUAUUUGUGGCGGAUCUGGCAUACUCU